AUUGAACGCUGGCGGCAUGCUUUACACAUGCAAGUCGAACGGUAACAGGGAGCUUGCUCCGCUGACGAGUGGCGAACGGGUGAGUAAUGCGUCGGAACGUGCCGAGUAGUGGGGGAUAACGCAUCGAAAGGUGUGCUAAUACCGCAUACGUACUGAGGUAGAAAGUGGGGGACCGUCGGGCCUCACGCUAUUCGAGCGUCCGACGUCUGAUUAGCUAGUUGGUGAGGUAAAGGCUCACCAAGGCGACGAUCAGUAGCGGGUCUGCGAGGAUGAUCCGCCACACUGGGACUGAGACACGGCCCAGACUCCUACGGGAGGCAGCAGUGGGGAAUUUUGGACAAUGGGCGCAAGCCUGAUCCAGCCAUGCCGCGUGUCUGAAGAAGGCCUUCGGGUUGUAAAGGACUUUUGUCCGGGAGCAAAUGCCUGGUGUUAAUAGCACUGGGAGCUGAGAGUACCGGAAGAAUAAGCACCGGCUAACUACGUGCCAGCCGCCGCUGUAACAC
rnacentral:rRNA from 1 species